rnacentral:rRNA from 1 species
CACGUAGGGGGCGAGCGUUGUCCGGAUUUAUUGGGCGUAAAGAGCUCGUAGGCGGCUUGGUAAGUUGGGUGUGAAAACUCCAGGCUCAACCUGGAGACGCCACCCGAUACUGCCAUGGCUAGAGUCCGGCAGGGGAGCAUGGAAUUCCUGGUGUAGCGGCGGAAUGCGCAGAUAUCAGGAGGAACACCAGUGGCGAAGGCGGCUAUCUGGUUCGAUUCUGACGCUGAGGUACGAAAGCGUGGGGAGCAAACAGG